rnacentral:tRNA from 2 species
GGGGAUAUAGCUCAGUUGGGAGAGCGUUACGUUGACAUCGUAGAGGUCAGUGGUUCGAGACCGCUUAUCCCCA